UCCAUUUCUUUCUCUGCACCAAAACCGUAAACCAUUCUCUCCACUUCAUAUCACAAACCGCGGCACCAUAUUUCUGUUUCAUUUCUCAUAUCACUUACCGCAACUCCAUUCCCUUUCCUCUGCAACAAUUCACCUCAGACCACACUCCACCUUCACCUCGUUAACAUCGACUGAGAUUGAGAGAGAGAGACUGAGCCGCACUCUGCAAUCCGAGAGGGAAGAAAAGAAUCCGCGAGCUGCAAAUUUUUCCUGCUCUGUCCGUGAGAUGGAGAGAAGAAAGGGGAGCAGCACCGCGUGAGCUCCACCCCUUGUCGCACUCUUCACCUUCCACCAACCACAACCAUCUUCACCGCAACACCAUACUAGCUGCAAUCCGUUUCCAGCAGCAACUACUGCAACCAGAAUCAAACCCGUACGUGAGAACCGAGAGGAGAGAAAAUUUCAGUUUCUCUGCCGUGUGAGUGAGCUUCGGUCUGAGGGUAUUGCGAGGACGCGGAAUUCGAUUCCAAUUUGAUAUCUGAACUCCACUCUUGGUUCUGGAAACUGAAAGCUGGAUGCCUAUUUAUGUUUCCUUUUGGAUUGUAUUUGAUCACUAAUACUUAUUCUGUGGGCUGUCAUGUGUUACUUGGGAUAAUGUAUUUUCCUUUUUGGAUUGCCACUUGAAGCUGGAAAAUGUGUAAACCCUAAUUCGAUUACUUAACUUGUAAGUUUGUAUUAUGGAUUUAUGUAUUUAUCCAUCUGGUUGGGUACGGCU